CUAUACUCAACCGUUGUGGCACACGCUGCGGUAAGCAAUUACCGUAUUUGGUGCUUUUAUGGCACAUGCGUGCUAGUCAUGCCUCAACGAGUAGGAGGGUCGCGGCGGUAUGCUUUGAAGGCUUAGCGGCGUGAGCCGGGCUGGAGCUGCCGUCGGUGCAGAUCUUGGUGGUAGUAGCAAAUACUCAAGCGAGAACCUUGAGGACUGAAGUGGAGAAGGCUUCCAUGUGAACAGCAGUUGAACAUGGGUCAGUCGAUCCUAAAGCAUCGGCGAAGGCCGUUCAGAAGCGGUGUCGGUUAUGUGGCAGUAUGCUGUUUCGGCAGUAUGCUGUCCGGCUAUAGGCGCUUGCUCGUUUAUAGUCGCCGCACCUGCUGAAAGGGAAUUGGAUUAAUAUUUCCAAACCUAACAGCGGAGAUUGGUUGCUCAUUAGGCUGCGCGGGCCUUGCGCUCGUGUCAGUCGGGGCAACGCGCUGCGGUAACGCAAACGAACUCGGAUACGCUGACUGGAGUCCCGGGAAGAGUUGUCUUUUCUUCAUAAAGAGUCGACUCCAUGGAAUUGGUUCAGCCAGAGAUAUGGAGAUGGCGUCUGAAAAGCAUCGCGCUUCUUGCGAUGUCCGGUGCGCUCCAAGCGGCCCUUGAAAAUCCGAGGGAGAGAAUGAUUUUCGUGUUAGAUCGUACCCAUAUCCGCAGCAGGUCUCCAAGGUUAAAAGC
rnacentral:rRNA from 1 species